rnacentral:lncRNA from 1 species
AGUGCCUACUUGUCUGGAUCAGUGGAUCAAUAACUAAGAAAAUUCAGAGUUGGCUUCUGGAUUGAUCAAAUCUAAUAUUUAUUCCUUGUCAACAAAAAAAAAAAUUAUAUCAUGUUUUUUCUGCAAAGAUAUAUCAUGGUUUUGAUUUUUUAUGUUUCCAGGGCAUGAAGGCUGGGCCAUGCAGGAUUACUUCCAUUAUUUGUGGCAGCCAGCGUAGCCGACAACCGUCU